GACGAACCGUACGAACGUUAUUCGGAAUUACUGGGCUUAAAGGGUGCGUAGGCGGCGCAGUAAGUUGGGUGUGAAAUCCCUCGGCUUAACCGAGGAAUUGCGCCCAAAACUACUGUGCUCGAGGGAGGUAGAGGCGAGUGGAAUUCCUGGUGUAGCGGUGGAAUGCGCAGAUAUCAGGAGGAACACCAACGGCGAAGGCAGCUCGCUGGGACGGUACUGACGCUGAGGCGCGAAAGCGUGGGGAGCAAACAGG
rnacentral:rRNA from 1 species